rnacentral:rRNA from 1 species
GACGAACGCUGGCGGCGUGCUUAACACAUGCAAGUCGAACGGAAAGGCCCUGCUUUUGUGGGGUGCUCGAGUGGCGAACGGGUGAGUAACCCGUGAGUAACCUGCCCUUUACUUUGGGAUAACUUCAGGAAACUGGGGCUACUACCGGAUAGGAGCUCCUGCUGCAUGGUGGGGGUUGGAACGUUUCGGCGGUUGGGGAUGGACUCGCGGCUUAUCAGCUUGUUGGUGGGGUAGUGGCUUACCAAGGCUUUGACGGGUAGCCGGCCUGAGAGGGUGACCGGCCACAUUGGGACUGAGAUACGGCCCAGACUCCUACGGGAGGCAGCAGUGGGGAAUAUUGCACAAUGGGCGGAAGCCUGAUGCAGCAACGCCGCGUGCGGGAUGACGGCCUUCGGGUUGUAAACCGCUUUCGCCUGUGACGAAGCGUGAGUGACGGUAAUGGGUAAAGAAGCACCGGCUAACUACGUG